rnacentral:lncRNA from 1 species
CUACACGGAGGUAUACGUCCUGAACCCCACAGAGGUUUAAACAGUGGUGUAGUAGGAGCUACACGGAGGUAUACGUCCUGAACCCCACAGAGGUUUAAACAGUGGUGUAGUAGGAGCUACACGGAGGUAUACGUCCUGAACCCCACAGAGGUUUAAACAGUGGUGUAGUAGGAGCAACACGGAGGUAUACGUCCUGAACCCCACAGAGGUUUAAUUAUGUGGUACAAUAGAGAAAGUAGCCUACACAAUCGCAAAGCACGUAAAAUAUAUUCACACGUUUGCUGCACACAGCCAAAUUUCAGCAGAAUUUCAUGGCAGUAAGAGCUGGUUGUCCCAUGGAGCAGCUCACAGCUGGUAGGUAGGACUUGCCUAGUUAAAUAAAGGUUAAAUGAAUCAAAUCAAAUGACAAUGGGUAAGCAAACCAGGUAUUGAAACCGUUUGGUCCAAAGUCUUGGUUGAAUCUUUGCAGUGUUCAAUUCAGUCAUCAUGUGCUGUUUUGAAUGAACAUUUCCAAAUGCUUUCCCAAGGAAAACGUCCUAAUUAAAGCUGCAAUAUGUAACUUUGGGCGACCCAACAAGUUCACAUUGACAUAUCUUUAACUCACAUUUCUUUCUCAUUGAAAGCAAGUCUAAUAAGUGGUAGAUAUGUUCUAUGUGCACUAUUUCUAUGCUUCCCAUUCUUAAGUUUAGUUUUUAUUUUGUUUUGUACACCAGUUUCAGAUGGCUGAAAAUACAAUAUUUUUGGUUAUGGAAAAUAUAUUGCAGAGGUUUAGAUGGUACAAAGAGACUCUAUACAAUUACUUAGUCACAUAAACUGAAAUUAACAGAAAUUAGGCGAACUUAGAAUUUUAGCAACCAGGAAAUGUCGGAGAUAUUUCUGUAUAGUGCAUCUUUAAAUGUUGACCGCAAGUUAGGCCUACGUGAUAUAAUUAUGAUUUGUAUCAAUCUGGAGGGCAUUUCUUUUGAAAACUCUUCCAUCAC